rnacentral:rRNA from 1 species
GGGGGGGGGGGGCGGGGGGGGGGAGGGAGGGGAGGCGGGGGGGCAGAGGAGGAGCGUGCUCCUCUGACGGUGGCGGCGGACGGGUGAGUCGCACGUGGAUAACCUACCUGUACGACUGGGGUAACUGCGGGAAACCGGAGCUAAUACCUGAUAGUAUAUUGAACCGCAUGGUUCGAUAGUGAAAGACGGUUUGGCUGUCACGUAUCGAUGGAUCCGCGCCGCAUGUGCUAGUUGGUAAGGUAACGGCUUACCACGGCAACGAUGCGUAGCCGACCUGAGAGGGUGAUCGGCCACACUGGAACUGAGCCACGGUCCAGACUCCUACGGGAGGCAGCAGUAGGGAAUCUUCCGCAAUGGGCGAAAGCUUGACGGAGCAACGCCGCGUGAGUGAUGAAGGUCUUCGGAUCGUAAAACUCUGUUAUUAGGGAAGAACAAAUGUGUAAGUAACUAUGCACGUCUUGACGGUACCUAAUCAGAAAGCCACGGCUAACUACGUG